AGCUGCGGCAGCGACGCUUAUGCGUUGUUGGGUAGGGGAGCGUUCUGUAAGCCUGUGAAGGUGUGCUGUGAGGCAUGCUGGAGGUAUCAGAAGUGCGAAUGCUGACAUAAGUAACGAUAAAGCGGGUGAAAAGCCCGCUCGCCGGAAGACCAAGGGUUCCUGUCCAACGUUAAUCGGGGCAGGGUGAGUCGACCCCUAAGGCGAGGCCGAAAGGCGUAGUCGAUGGGAAACAGGUUAAUAUUCCUGUACUUGGUGUUACUGCGAAGGGGGGACGGAGAAGGCUAUGUUGGCCGGGCGACGGUUGUCCCGGUUUAAGCGUGUAGGCUGGUUUUCCAGGCAAAUCCGGAAAAUCAAGGCUGAGGCGUGAUGACGAGGCACUACGGUGCUGAAGCAACAAAUGCCCUGCUUCCAGGAAAAGCCUCUAAGCAUCAGGUAACAUCAAAUCGUACCCCAAACCGACACAGGUGGUCAGGUAGAGAAUACCAAGGCGCUUGAGAGAACUCGGGUGAAGGAACUAGGCAAAAUGGUGCCGUAACUUCGGGAGAAGG
rnacentral:rRNA from 1 species